AUCUCAUUUGUGUCAUGAAGAAAGUCUUUAAUCAAACAGAAUUCAAAUAUCAGAAACAUUUCAUAUAUGGAGUUAAACAUGAAUCAUUGUUUCAACAAUAUAUUUAUUGUUGUCAUAAACAGACAAGAAGACAACAACAAACUGCUCCUCCCAUUCAACACAUGUCAGUCCAUAUCCCAGCAAACUAAAUCAUCUCCAUUUACACACAUCAAAUAGAAACAUGAAUCACUUGUAAUGAUUAGAAACUUGAUAGAAUUUAAAAUCUAGUUUGGGGAGUCAUUCAGUGAGAAACAGUGAAAUGAUUUUCCAUGUGAAAAGGUGGACAGCAGAAACAGAAAGAAACAGUGAGAACUAAAA